rnacentral:tRNA from 2 species
GCUGAGGUGGUGGAACUGGUAGACACGCAAGCUUGAGGGGCUUGUGGCCGCAAGGUCGUGGAGGUUCAAGUCCUCUUCUCAGCA